rnacentral:tRNA from 1 species
GUGCCCGUAGCUCAACUGGAUAGAGCGUCUGACUACGGAUCAGAAGGUUGAGGGUUCGAGUCCUUCCGGGCACG